UUUACAAGUUUAUUUUCCCUUCGUCGUCCGUACAGCGGCCUCGAUCGUUCCUUAGUCCUUACAUACACACAUCGAGUCGUAUUACAAGACAUUUCGCCGGCCAAGAACACAUAUUUGACAAGGCUUUCGUAGGAUUUGUGGGCAUUUCCAGGGGUAGUUUUAUGACCCUGGUGGUAGUGUGAGUCUUCCUCUGUACCGUGAACCUGAAGAAACACAUAUUUGACAAGGCCUUCGUAGGAGUUGUGGGCAUUUCCAGGGGUAGUUUUAUGACCCUGGUGGUAGUUUGACCCUUCUUCUGUACCGUGAACCUAGAAACACAUAUUUGACAAGGCUUUCGUAGGAGUUGUGGGCAUUUCCAGGGGUAGUUUUAUGACCCUGGUGGUAGUUUGACCCUUCUUCUGUACCGUGAACCUAGAAACACAUAUUUGACAAGGCUUUCGUAGGAGUUGUGGGCAUUUCCAGGGGUAGUUUUAUGACCCUGGUGGUAGUUUGACCCUUCUUCUGUACCGUGAACCUAGAAACACAUAUUUGACAAGGCUUUCGUAGGAGUUGUGGGCAUUUCCAGGGGUAGUUUUAUGACCCUGGUGGUAGUGUGACCCUUCUUCUGUACC